GGGUUGUGAGGUUAAGCGACUAAGCGUACACGGUGGAUGCCCUGGCAGUCAGAGGCGAUGAAGGACGUGAUAAUCUGCGAAAAGCGCCGGCGAGGUGAUAUGAACCCUUGACCCGGCGAUGUCCGAAUGGGGAAACCCAGUGCAAUCCGUUGCACUAUCGUUAACUGAAUACAUAGGUUAACGAGGCGAACCGGGGGAACUGAAACAUCUAAGUACCCCGAGGAAAAGAAAUCAACCGAGAUUCCCCCAGUAGCGGCGAGCGAACGGGGAGCAGCCCGGAGUCUGAAUCAGCUUGUGUGUUAGUGGAACGGUCUGGAAAGUCCGACGGUACAGGGUGAUAGUCCCGUACACGAAAAUGCACAUGCUGUGAACUCGAAGAGUAGGGCGGGACACGUGGUAUCCUGUCUGAAUAUGGGGGGACCAUCCUCCAAGGCUAAAUACUCCUGACUGACCGAUAGUGAACCAGUACCGUGAGGGAAAGGCGAAAAGAACCCCGGCGAGGGGAGUGAAAAAGAACCUGAAACCGUGUACGUACAAGCAGUGGGAGCCUCUUUAUGGGGUGACUGCGUACCUUUUGUAUAAUGGGUCAGCGACUUAUAUUCUGUAGCAAGGUUAACCGUAUAGGGGAGCCGAAGGGAAACCGAGUCUUAACUGGGCGUUAAGUUGCAGGGUAUAGACCCGAAACCCGGUGAUCUAGCCAUGGGCAGGUUGAAGGUUGGGUAACACUAACUGGAGGACCGAACCGACUAAUGUUGAAAAAUUAGCGGAUGACCUGUGGCUGGGGGUGAAAGGCCAAUCAAACCGGGAGAUAGCUGGUUCUCCCCGAAAGCUAUUUAGGUAGCGCCUCGUGAACUCAUCUUCGGGGGUAGAGCACUGUUUCGGCUAGGGGGCCAUCCCGGCUUACCAACCCGAUGCAAACUACGAAUACCGAAGAAUGUUAUCACGGGAGACACACGGCGGGUGCUAACGUCCGUCGUGAAGAGGGAAACAACCCAGACCGCCAGCUAAGGUCCCAAAGUCAUGGUUAAGUGGGAAACGAUGUGGGAAGGCACAGACAGCCAGGAUGUUGGCUUAGAAGCAGCCAUCAUUUAAAGAAAGCGUAAUAGCUCACUGGUCGAGUCGGCCUGCGCGGAAGAUGUAACGGGGCUAAACCAUGCACCGAAGCUGCGGCAGCGACACUAUGUGUUGUUGGGUAGGGGAGCGUUCUGUAAGCCGUUGAAGGUGUGCUGUGAGGCAUGCUGGAGGUAUCAGAAGUGCGAAUGCUGACAUAAGUAACGAUAAAGCGGGUGAAAAGCCCGCUCGCCGGAAGACCAAGGGUUCCUGUCCAACGUUAAUCGGGGCAGGGUGAGUCGACCCCUAAGGCGAGGCCGAAAGGCGUAGUCGAUGGGAAACAGGUUAAUAUUCCUGUACUUGGUGUUACUGCGAAGGGGGGACGGAGAAGGCUAUGUCAGCCGGGCGACGGUUGUCCCGGUUUAAGCAUGUAGGCGGAGGUUCCAGGUAAAUCCGGUACCUUGUUAACGCUGAGGUGUGAUGACGAGGCACAACGGUGCUGAAGUGAUAAAUGCCCUGCUUCCAGGAAAAGCCUCUAAGCAUCAGGUAACACGAAAUCGUACCCCAAACCGACACAGGUGGUCAGGUAGAGAAUACCAAGGCGCUUGAGAGAACUCGGGUGAAGGAACUAGGCAAAAUGGUGCCGUAACUUCGGGAGAAGGCACGCUGAUGUGUAGGUGAAGCCCCUGCGGGCGGAGCUGAAAUCAGUCGAAGAUACCAGCUGGCUGCAACUGUUUAUUAAAAACACAGCACUGUGCAAACACGAAAGUGGACGUAUACGGUGUGACGCCUGCCCGGUGCCGGAAGGUUAAUUGAUGGGGUUAGCGGCAACGCGAAGCUCUUGAUCGAAGCCCCGGUAAACGGCGGCCGUAACUAUAACGGUCCUAAGGUAGCGAAAUUCCUUGUCGGGUAAGUUCCGACCUGCACGAAUGGCGUAAUGAUGGCCAGGCUGUCUCCACCCGAGACUCAGUGAAAUUGAACUCGCUGUGAAGAUGCAGUGUACCCGCGGCAAGACGGAAAGACCCCGUGAACCUUUACUAUAGCUUGACACUGAACACUGGUCCUUGAUGUGUAGGAUAGGUGGGAGGCUUUGAAGCGUGGACGCCAGUCUGCGUGGAGCCAACCUUGAAAUACCACCCUUUAAUGGCUGGUGUUCUAACGUAGACCCGUAAUCCGGGUUGCGGACAGUGUCUGGUGGGUAGUUUGACUGGGGCGGUCUCCUCCCAAAGAGUAACGGAGGAGCACGAAGGUUGGCUAAUCCUGGUCGGACAUCAGGAGGUUAGUGCAAUGGCAUAAGCCAGCUUGACUGCGAGCGUGACGGCGCGAGCAGGUGCGAAAGCAGGUCAUAGUGAUCCGGUGGUUCUGAAUGGAAGGGCCAUCGCUCAACGGAUAAAAGGUACUCCGGGGAUAACAGGCUGAUACCGCCCAAGAGUUCAUAUCGACGGCGGUGUUUGGCACCUCGAUGUCGGCUCAUCACAUCCUGGGGCUGAAGUAGGUCCCAAGGGUAUGGCUGUUCGCCAUUUAAAGUGGUACGCGAGCUGGGUUUAGAACGUCGUGAGACAGUUCGGUCCCUAUCUGCCGUGGGCGCUGGAGAAUUGAGGGGGGCUGCUCCUAGUACGAGAGGACCGGAGUGGACGCAUCACUGGUGUUCGGGUUGUCAUGCCAAUGGCACUGCCCGGUAGCUAAAUGCGGAAGAGAUAAGUGCUGAAAGCAUCUAAGCACGAAACUUGCCCCGAGAUGAGUUCUCCCUGAGACUUUAAGUCUCCUGAAGGAACGUUGAAGACGACGACGUUGAUAGGUCGGGUGUGUAAGCGCAGCGAUGCGUUGAGCUAACCGAUACUAAUGAACCGUGAGGCUUAACCUUACAACGCCGAAGGUGUUU
rnacentral:rRNA from 1 species